GUGAGGAAUAUUGGUCAAUGGUCGCAAGACUGAACCAGCCAUGCCGCGUGCAGGAAGACGGUCCUAUGGAUUGUAAACUGCUUUUAUACAGGAAGAAACCCUCCCACGUGUGGGAGCUUGACGGUACUGUAGGAAUAAGGAUCGGCUAACUCCGUGCCAGCAGCCGCGGUAAUACGGAGGAUCCAAGCGUUAUCCGGAAUCAUUGGGUUUAAAGGGUCUGUAGGCGGUCUUAUAAGUCAGUGGUGAAAGCCCAUCGCUCAACGAUGGAACUGCCAUUGAUACUGUAAGACUUGAAUGCUUAGGAAGUAACUAGAAUAUGUAGUGUAGCGGUGAAAUGCUUAGAUAUUACAUGGAAUACCAAUUGCGAAGGCAGGUUACUACUAAGUGAUUGACGCUGAUGGACGAAAGCGUGGGGAGCGAACAGGAUUAGAUACCCGAGUAGUCC
rnacentral:rRNA from 1 species